rnacentral:lncRNA from 1 species
GCGUCUUAUUCGAUAUGAAUUUAGUACUUUAUGCAUUUAUUUAUUUUAUUUAUUUAUUUGAAGUAUAUGUAAGUUUUACGAAACCAGAAAAUGCAAUGCAAUGCAGAAAUUUGCCAAUAAGGAUUGAGCAGUUUAGAAUUUAUUUUAUAUAUAUAUGUAUAGUUAAUUACAAAUAUAUUUUGCAAAACUUUUUUCCCCCAAUUUAUAAAGAUUGGAAUGUUAUUUGUAAGUUUUGUUAGAUACGGGUGAAAAAUUUAAACGGUUCUUAUUGUCAUUUACGCAAUAUUGCAUUGUGUACCAAUAUCUCGUGUGUUACGUCUUGUUCGAUCAUAUAGGCAUUCUAUAAUGGAUUCCCUUCAACGUUUUGGCCAAUUGUAUUUCACAAAUUUUUCUAUUUGAUGUAUUUUAUUACCAGCUUUUGACACUUAAGACUUGUAAAAUUUUAAAUAUUACUUUUAUUUUGUUAAAAUGAAAAUAAUUUGUUGUAGCAUGAACUUAAACAUAUUACCCAUUCAUCUUUUCUUGAAAUGAUUUUUUUUUUUUCUGUACUGUAUAAUUUUUCCACUUAGUCUUAAAAUUGUUGUGAAAGCAAUAAGUUUGUUAAUUAAAGAUUAUAUAUACACACACAAUAUUAAUCAGGAAUGUUUUAUUUAUGCAAGCAUAGAAUCAACUGGGUUCGAUAUAGAAUCGUACUGUUUUACUGAAUCCUAAAUUAUGUUACGAAAUUAUCCGAUUGUACAAAUGACUAGAAUAUGUUGUAACCAGUUGAAAAUGUUCUCUCUCUAUUCACAUAGUGAUGUACAAAGUAUAAUAGGUAAAUUUGUAGUCAGUGUUGAAAAAUCACAAUCGUUCUCUGACGGAUUGUCGGAAUAACAAAAAAUAAAAAGAUUGGUUGACGGAAAGUUUAAUUAUUGUAUGAAAUAUUUGGAGCCUCGUUUAUGUAUAGAUAAUGGAGGCAGAUUCCUUAGUCAAUGUACUGUACUUAAUCUUCUGUGAUGUAUGAAUACUAGUCAGAAAUAAAUGUGAUCG